CGAACUCACGGACCGUGAGAUCGUGACCUGGCUGAAGUCGGACGCUUAACCGACUGCGCCACCCAGGCGCCCCCCAAACAGCAUUUUUAAAAGCAAUAAAAGGGGACAGAAGAGGAGCAGCAGAGACUGGAGGAUGGCUGGCAGAGCAGACAAACCAAGCAGGAUAUGCCACUGCUCAUGACUGCCCAAGAUGAAGUUGAGGCCGACAAUCUGAAGAGGCAGGAGGAAACAUAGCAGGUGCACAACAUGUUGGGUCUGCUUUCUGCAAUUAUUUGUUGAAAAAGCACAUUGACUGUUUAAUAGUAUUCCCUGGUGGGGAACCUGGGUGGCUCAGUUCGUGAAGCGUCUGACUUGGGCUCAGGUCACGAUCUCAUGGUUUGUGAGUUCGAGCCCUGCGUCAGGCUCUGUGCUGACAGCUCAGAGCCUGGAGCCUGCUUCAGAUUCUGUGUCUCCCUCUCUCUCUGCCCCUUCCCCACUUGUGCUCGCUCUCUAUCUGUCUCUAAAACAGAUAAAUAAACUUAAAAAAAUAGUA